GGAGUGAGUUGUGGGUAGCGGUGAAUUCCAAACGAACUUGGAGAUAGCUGGUUCUCUCCGAAAUAGCUUUAGGGCUAGCCUCGUGGAGAGGAUAAUGGAGGUAGAGCUCUGUUUGGACUAGGGGCCCGUCGAGGGGUUACUGAAUCCAGAUAAACUGCGAAUUCCAGAUAUCCAUACACGGGAGUCAGACUGCGAGUGAUAAGAUCCGUAGUCGAAAAGGGAACAGCCCAGAUCACCAGUUAAGGUCCCAAAUCUAUGCUAAGUGGAAAAGGAUGUGGAGUUGCGUAGACAACUAGGACGUUGGCUCAGAAGCAGCCAUCAUUCAAAGAGUGCGUAAUAGCUCACUAGUC
rnacentral:rRNA from 1 species